UGCGGCCUGGUAGUUCAGUUGGUUAGAAUGCCAGCCUGUCACGCUGGAGGUCGAGGGUUCAGUCCUGCCUCCGCAACCA
rnacentral:tRNA from 1 species